rnacentral:lncRNA from 1 species
CCCCACUAAGUAAGUCUAGGAGGAAACUAGCUCUAAUUCAUACUGUUACGAUUUAUUCCAUGACAAGGCAAAGAGAUUAGUCCUAAACUAAGAAAUACGCAAUGCAUCAGCGUAUGCCAACGAUCAGCUCCGACUGGCUAGGCUCAGGAGAAAUGCGUUUCUGACAUAUGGCGAACGAUCAGUCUCAUUCGCUAGAUCCAUAUCAUAGUUUAACUAGAA